UUUCAGUACAUCAGGGCACUUCACUGGAGGAUCUCAGAAAGUGGAAUGCCUCAGUCAUUCACAGGCAUGCUAAGGUCUGGCCAGCACCCACCACAACUACAGAUGGAGACAGGAGCAUCCCAAAACCCGCAAGUCCAAGCAUCUUGUAUGAGUAAGUCAGAGAAGAAAUCUGUUGGAAACCCCUGGAACAAGAGACCUGAAGAGUAAUGAAAUGAGCAGAUUUGGAGUUCUGCCAAGAAACCACAUGUUCAGACAACAGCAACUGGAAGACUCCUCACUCCACUCAUGUCGAUACUGCACUGAACUCCAUCCCAGCUCCUUUGUGGUCACUCAGCUGUUCUGUGGUACUCCUGCUUUUCCUCCUUAUCGUUCACCAUAAUUACUCUACAGCAAUCAUGUGGUUCUGUUUCCCAUGAGUUAAGGUUACAAGUAGGGAUU